rnacentral:rRNA from 1 species
CGGGACGGGUGAGUAAUGUCUGGGAAACUGCCUGAUGGAGGGGGAUAACUACUGGAAACGGUAGCUAAUACCGCAUAACGUCGCAAGACCAAAGAGGGGGACCUUCGGGCCUCUUGCCAUCGGAUGUGCCCAGAUGGGAUUAGCUAGUAGGUGGGGUAACGGCUCACCUAGGCGACGAUCCCUAGCUGGUCUGAGAGGAUGGCCAGCCACAUGGAACUGAGACACGGUCCAG